UUUCUCAGACUCUCUUCUUGUUUCCUCUCCCCCUUUCUUUCCCUAUUUCCUCCUCGCCCCCAAGAAGAAUGAAAGCCUCAAGGGCUCCCUGGACACCGUAGAUCGGUGGUCACAGGGAGCAAACAAACCCCUAAAAACCCAACGGUUCGUGGCCUUGCCGAUGAUCCAAGAAAAAGCUCUGACGGCGGCAAGGGGAAGCUCCACUGGGAAGCUGGUGUUAACGGCGGUGUCUGGGAGUUGGAAGGCCAAGUGGUUGAGCUUCGGUUUAGGGUUUUAAAAACCCUAAAAUUAUGGGGUUGUCACAUGCUAGGCUCAGGUCGGAUCCGGCCGGGUUAGGGUAGGUUAACUAAUAACAUGGGUCGGGUGUGAAGUCUUAGUGGGUUGUUGGGUUAUUGUUUGUAAUGGGGCUUGGUUGGACUUCUGGGUUCCAGAUUGGGGCUCUACAAAAAUUUGUACAUUAUAUAUUUAUAAUUAAAAUAAAGAUAAUAAUAG